rnacentral:rRNA from 1 species
UACAGAGGGUGCAAGCGUUAAUCGGAUUUACUGGGCGUGAAGCGUGUGUAGGUUGUUUGACAAGUCGGUUGUGAAAUCCCCGGGCUCAACCUGGGAACUGCUUCCGAGACUGUCCGACUAGAGUACGGUAGAGGGCGGUGGAAUUUCCGGUGUAGCGGUGAAAUGCGUAGAUAUCUGAAGGAACACCGAUGGCGAAGGCAGCCGCCUGGGCCUGUACUGACACUGAGGCACGAAAGCGUGGGGAUCAAACAGG